rnacentral:rRNA from 1 species
UACGGGGGGAGCAAGCGUUGUUCGGAUUUACUGGGCGUAAAGGGCGCGUAGGCGGCCACCGCAAGUCAGUUGUGAAAUCUCUGGGCUUAACCCAGAAAGGUCAACUGAUACUGCGGGGCUAGAGUGCAGAAGGGGCAACUGGAAUUCUCGGUGUAGCGGUGAAAUGCGUAGAUAUCGAGAGGAACACCUGCGGCGAAGGCGGUUGCGUGGGCUGACACGUGACGCUGAAGCGCGAAAGCUAGGGGAGCGAACGGG